rnacentral:rRNA from 1 species
UACAGAGGAUGCAAGCGUUAUCCGGAAUUACUGGGCGUAAAGCGUCUGUAGGCGGCUUUUUAAGUCCGCCGUCAAAUCCCAGGGCUCAACCCUGGACAGGCGGUGGAAACUACCAAGCUGGAGUACGGUAGGGGCAGAGGGAAUUUCCGGUGGAGCGGUGAAAUGCGUAGAGAUCGGAAAGAACACCAACGGCGAAAGCGCUCUGCUGGGCCGACACUGACACUGAGAGACGAAAGCUAGGGGAGCGAAUGGG